AUAUACUUUCGUAAAUGUUAAUUGAUGACAUGUCCAACCGUAAUUUGCUGUUUAAAAUUUUAUGUGGACGGCAUACGAAUCAAAUAGCCUCGACUUUUCUAUAGUAUAAAUUGUAUGUAACUUGUAGGCUCUCUCUAAGGCGGAACGCUCCCCUACCGAUGUAUUUUGACAUCCCACAGCUUCGGCCCAUGUAGUCUAUUGGUUAUUUUUGUGGUUCAGUUUAAAUUUUAAAUACAUGUAUUUAUCCUCAAACUUUUUUUUUUGCGAUUCUCAAACUAUUUAAUUCAAAUCCAGAAACGGUUUAUUUCUCCCCAAAAUACAUGUAUUUAUC
rnacentral:sRNA from 1 species